GAGUUUGAUCCUGGCUCAGGAUGAACGCUAGCGGCAGGCCUAACACAUGCAAGUCGAGGGGUAGCAGGAUCAAGCUUGCUUGAUUGCUGACGACCGGCGCACGGGUGCGUAACGCGUAUGCAAUCUGCCCUUUACUGGGGUAUAGCCCGGAGAAAUUCGGAUUAAUCCCCCAUAGUAUUGUAGAAUCGCAUGGUUUUACAAUUAAAGGUUACGGUAAAGGAUGAGCAUGCGUCCUAUUAGCUAGAUGGUGAGGUAACGGCUCACCAUGGCGACGAUAGGUAGGGGGCCUGAGAGGGUGGUCCCCCACACUGGUACUGAGACACGGACCAGACUCCUACGGGAGGCAGCAGUGAGGAAUAUUGGUCAAUGGGCGCAAGCCUGAACCAGCCAUGCCGCGUGCAGGAAGAAGGUCCUAUGGAUUGUAAACUGCUUUUAUCUGGGAAUAAACCUCCUUACGUGUAGGGAGCUGAAGGUACCAGAUGAAUAAGCACCGGCUAACUCCGUGCCAGC
rnacentral:rRNA from 1 species